CACAACAAAACAUGCGCACUACACCAUGUCUCAGUGUGGGAUAUGUAUUAACAUUAACGCCAGUUAGUGGCAUGUAUAUUUAACAUAACAAUAUAUUUACGUAAUAUAAUUAACUUUGGUAGAAUUUUCUUACUCAAGAUACCCUUCUACAAAACAAUAGAUUGAAAACAAACUGAUCAAUUCUAAAUACUAGAAAACGAAAAUUGAAUUCAAACACAUGUGAUAAUUCUACUUUGGAUUUGACUAGACAUCAACGUUUGGAAAGUUUAAUUCAUGACCGACGGCUCCGUACUGUAUCGUCUUCUUAGAGAAGAUGAAAACCCAUUAGCCGAGGGGAUAAAAGCAAAACUGCCUCUUGAUGAAAGUCUUCCGUGGUCACAUGUUCGAAACGGAUCAAGAAAAAAUUCCCAGUGGAUAUCAACUACUGCUUCUAUAGAGGCUGUUGAAAAAUUUGUACGAUUAAGAAGGAAGAAACGCGGGAGUCGAUCAGUGUGCAGAGUUGUCAAGAUAAAUAGGAAAAAACUUGAAAAUUAUGCAAAAGAAUGUGAACUGAGUGUAGAACAGGAUUUACCACUACAUCAAGAGACAUUUUGCGGCAAUGGAUUCUGGGAAAAUGUCGUUCCUUUUGAGAAGAAAACUGGAAAAAUAUUAGAUUUAACUAAAAUGGAGGUUUUAGAUACAUAUCUUCCGAAACAACCCAAUGAUCCAAAAUUUAACGAGCGAGCAAGAAGUUUUGCGACAAAAUAUCAUGAGGUUCUUGUUGAACGCUUCAUUCCAGCUAACUGCUGUAUAUGUGUUAUUAAAUACACAUAAUUAUAAUUUUAGUUCUUCAAAAAAAAACUUCUUUUAUUUUGCAUUUGAAUAAUUCGUUGUUUAUGUUGUCAUGUGUUCAAUGUUUUAUUAUACUCGUAAUGUUACUCUACUUGGUCGGUAUAAAUGUUGCUCAUUUCAGUAACUUGACUCAACAAGACAAAGUCAGCUAUAAUUUUGUUUGGAUGCGUUCUGUAUGCUUCCUAAGGAUACCUUCAGUUGUUUAAAGCAUGUAUAAAUAAUUGAAUCACAGAACUACAUACUGGUAGUAAAAAAGCUAGACAGCAAGGACAAGUAAAAUAUAGACAAAUAAAGAAACACAGCGGGUGCUGCCUUUGAACAUUUCGUGGUAAAACAAGAAUUUAAUUCGGUGCAUACAAAACCUCACGUUCAAAGUUAUGGGACAGUGUAAUAAAAAAUUACUACCACCAGAUAAAUAGGCUUAUGGUACCAGGUAAGGGUAGAUGACGAAGGUGUACGGAAAAUUUUGUAAACAGCAAAAAUGCUUGUGUAAAAAAUAUAAAUGAACCAUACAAGUAUACAAGAAAUGCCUUUGAAGAAGACACAGCAACAACAGAAAUACCUCGACAUUGUUUAUAGACAUGUAUUACGUGACUUUGUUCUAUUUAUAUAGCAGCAUGUGUUCAGAAAUGAUAAUCAAUUACACAACAGAGAGUAAAACCUCCAUUGUUUGCUUACUUCAUAACUGGUUUAGAGAAACAUGUUUUACUGUUAUUUGAAUGAAGUUAUCUAAAUAGUAAGAUAGUAGUAUA